AAUGGCUGAGCCAUUACAAACAUUGAAUCUAUCUCCCCUUAGUUGGAGGAUUCCAAUCCCGUGAGCCAUCGAGGAGCCACGCCCUGAGGUGGAGAACUGCUAGGUUGGGAUGAAGCACACGAUCCACAUCCUGUGACAGGAGCUUCAGAUGCAACUCCUGGAACAGAGCAAGGGCUGCCUGGGUGGAAGACAGCACUGCUUCAUAGGAACGGCCCUUGAGUAGCCAGUCGUUGAGAUAUGGGAAAACUAGGAUUGCUUCUUGUUGGAGCAGGACCAAAUGAGGAAGAAACCCAUCAUCAGUCCAGAUCUCUCUGCCUCAGAAUAGAAGGCAACUCAUCAGCUGAUCUCUCCCUUCUUACAAGUUGGAGGCUUGCAAGAUGUAACAAAGGCCCCUGUGUUUUUUAUCUGAAAUAUAAAUAAUGUGUCUCAUAAUCAACACUGGUGAGAGCCACUCAGAUUAUCCAUGCAACAAUCUGAGAACCAGAGCCUGCUACCCUCCCCAUGAUUCACCCAAAUUUGCAGACUUUCCCACAUUAAAUGUGGAAUUGUGGAGUCUGCAGCUUAUGUGGAGAAGAGGUAGCACAAGAUCAGUGUGGUACUGAGCUCUGAAAAAGGACAUGUGGUCAGUCAGCCUUCCUCUUCCUUCUAACCUCCAAUCCAUGUGGAGGGGAAGAGAAAAUGUUUUGUUCUUCUUCUUUGUUAGUCUCUAAAGUGCCACAAGUACUCCUGUUCUUUUUGCGGAUACAGACUAACACGGCUGCUACUCUGAAACUCUUCUUUGAGGCUUGACCAUGUGUUCCCUUCUCAAAUGGAGGCAUGGCCAAGUCGUUAGUUUAAAUUUGUUUUUCACUUUUCUUAUGUGAAAUCUUACACAUGGGCUUUACUACUUUUACUUUGCUCGACUUUGUUGCAACCCUCUUUGCCUUGUUUAUUGUCUAGUGGCCAGGAUCAUCACUAAAGAAAAUGGCUGGCUUGCACAAGUCACCCUUGGGCACAUUUUGUGCAGAAUGUAUCAUUAUCUAAUCUGUCUAGAGUAUGUUUAGGAAUGGCUAGGCAUGAAGACAAACUUGCUAUGGUAUUUUAAAUAAAUAAAACAUACAUAGCCUACAGAAAGUAUAAAACAAGUCAGAACAGAUUGCAAAUUAGUACAUCUUCUUAUGCCUUUCAAUGCUUUUUAAAAGAAGUGGCAUAUUAGCCUAAGGCUUCAAAUUAGCUGAUCUUGAAUUUACAGGUGACGUAGUAGACAAGGAAGCACAUGUCUUGUUAUGUUUAAUGACAUAAUCAAGACUCUUUUUCAUAUAAUUUUAUUAAAAUAUUAUCUUUACAAAACUUGAAUUGUUGGGACAUAUUAAAGCUGACAGUAUUAUGUUCAGGAAGAGCAAAACACUUUUGAAAGAGUCACUACCAUCAACCUGAAAUUGAGUAAAUUAUUAAAAAGUAGUUAAAAGUAGUUUCAGAUACUAGACCUGGCCCUGAGUUCCCCUUGCUACUUUUUCUAGCUUACAACCAUAUUUUCCUACUUUUAUAACAAGGAAACAGAUGAUACGCAAAAUUCUGUCAUAUGCACAAAGUUAACAAAUUGGAAAAACAGAUUUUUCUCCCCUCUCUUUCGGUUAUAGACAUCUUGUGUGUUACUUGUACUUAAAAACAUUGAACUGUGAUUUUUAAGUGGAUGAUGUCUCUUUUAAGAACUCACCCAAGACACUACACUUAGUAAAUUUUUCACUACACUUGAAAAAAUUUUCUGCCUUCGAAAGAUGAAGGGCUAAGUCGACACUGCCUGGAUUAAAAAUUGUGAUUUCAGGGAAUCCUGACAGUGAUUCUCUGGUCAACACAAAAUUCUAAACUGUCCCCUUCACUUUAUAUUAAUGCUAUGGAUUCUUGACUUAAAUGUAUAUAAGCCAGGAAAAUCAAAAGAUUCAAACUUAUCCUGUUCUGUGAGGUUAUGUAGGGAACACUACAUGCUAACAUAGGAAAACCGUUCCAAUAACUUGGCAUUAUAUGCUCCAAGAUCCAAUCAUACCUAUUCUGGCUUUAAUCUGGGUUGAUUAAAGUGAGGCAACCCCUACAAUUAUUUUUUUCUGUAUUUCUUCAAAUACAGAAGGAGGUGAUUACUAUUUAUUUUCUGUAGAAUGACAACAGUGCACUAUGUACUUAGAAGGCAAGUCUGAAAACAAGGGCCCUGAUUCUCCCCUACACUAUAACUGCUUUAGGCCUUUCCAAUAAAAGGGGGAAGAAACAGUUCUUGGGGAAUACCAUCAGUGUAUGGAACCUCCCAUCCAGUAUAACCAUUCUGUGCCAGCUCCACUCCUGGGCACUAGCAUGAAGGGAAUGCCAGAGGAGGGAGGGAGGAAGGUUGAAGAGUGGGUGGAGCAGCCUAAGCUAUACUGUAAUUUAUGCCUAAAUCUGGGCAGCAGUGCUUAAUUUGUAAUGAAAGAGGUGACAGGGCUCAAGCAAUUAGGUGCCAUGACUCAAGCAAUUUCUAUACUUUCAUAAUUGACAUGGCAAGCCCAGAGGUGCCAGGGCUAUGAACUGCCAAGCCUAGAGGUGCUGGAAAUUAAGGACUGCUGGGCACACUCCAAAAUACCGAAAUUGCCAACUUUGUCUUGCCUUCUCUGUUUCUACCCUCAACAAAGGAAUUAAUUAAUGUUGCCCUUUUUGAUCCAAGUAGUUAGUAUUUGGGAUCUUGCAGGUUGAUUCCCUUAGGAGCAGAAAUUGAUGAUAGAAUCAGGUAUACUUUGAUGCAAUCCUCUUUAUUUACAAAGAAUGUACAAAGUCCUGUUUCCCUGAACACAGUAAGAAUCAAACAAUAGGAGACAGUUUCUUUGCCGACAGUUCCAAGCCCCUUUCCAGUUAGCACUCUUCCCAAAAGCUCUCUCUUAGCUAUUUCUUAGGGUCACAUUACAAGUGCUUCUCUGGCUGUUUCUUGUGCUUCCUUGCGGCCUUUUUUUUUCUGAUUCUGUCUUUUUUCUAAUGCUUUUUUGACAAAUAUACACCUCCAACACACACAAAGCUCAUCAUCUCUGCUAUGAAU